GCCUACGGGACGCAGCAGUGAGGAAUAUUGGUCAAUGGGCGAGAGCCUGAACCAGCCAAGUCGCGUGAGGGAGUACUGCCCUAUGGGUUGUAAACCUCUUUUGUCGGGGAGCAAAAGCUGGACGUGUCCGUCUGUGAGAGUACCCGAAGAAAAAGCAUCGGCUAACUCCGUGCCAGCAGCCGCGGUAAUACGGAGGAUGCGAGCGUUAUCCGGAUUUAUUGGGUUUGAAGGGUGCGCAGGCGGAUUUUUAAGUCAGCGGUCAAAUCGUGGGGCUCAACCCCAUCCAGCCGUUGAAACUGGGGAUC
rnacentral:rRNA from 1 species